rnacentral:rRNA from 2 species
CACGUAGGGGGCAAGCGUUGUCCGGAUUUAUUGGGCGUAAAGAGCUCGUAGGCGGCUCAGUAAGUCAGGUGUGAAACCUCCAGGCUCAACCUGGAGACGCCACCUGAUACUGCUGUGGCUAGAGUCCGGUAGGGGAGCGUGGAAUUCCUGGUGUAGCGGUGAAAUGCGCAGAUAUCAGGAGGAACACCAGCGGCGAAGGCGGCGCUCUGGGCCGGAACUGACGCUGAGGAGCGAAAGCGUGGGUAGCAAACAGG